rnacentral:tRNA from 1 species
UCCCGUGUGGCUCGGUUGGUAGAGCAUGGUGUUUGCAACGCCAGGGUUGUGGGUUCGAUUCCCACGGGGGGGG